rnacentral:rRNA from 1 species
AGAGUUUGAUUAUGGCUCAGGAUUAACGCUGGCGGCGUGCCUAAUACAUGCAAGUCGGAUGGUUAGCUUGCUAACCAUGGCGAACGGGUGAGUAACACGUAGGUAACCUGUCAUAGAGACGAGGAUAACCAUUGGAAACGAUGGAUAAUACUGGAUAGGACACUUGAGGGCAUCAUUAAGUGUUUAAAGAUUUAUCGCUAUAUGAGGGGCCUGCGGCGCAUUAGCUAGUUGGGGGGUAAUAGCCCACCAAGGCGAUGAUGCGUAGCCGGACUGAGAGGUUGAACGGCCACAAUGGGACUGAGAACGGCCCAUACUCCUACGGGAGGCAGCAGUAGGGAAUUUUCGGCAAUGGGCGGAAGCCUGAACCCGAGCAACGCCGCGUGAACGAAGAAGUAUUUCGGUAUGUAAAGUUCUUUUAUUUGGGAAGAAAAGACAGAUUGACUGUACCAAAUGAAUAAGCUCCGGCUAACUACGUGCCAGCCGCGGC